rnacentral:lncRNA from 1 species
UACCCAUGGAGAAUACCUUGUUUUCUACUUUCAGGUAUGCGUUUAAUGCCAGCUACCACCCAAUAGGAGUUCUACCAGCUAAUACGUUCACUUCUGUUGACAACAUUUUGAAUACCACAACUAACUAUACGCUGUAUAAUAUUACAAUACCUUGUUGUGCUGUUGCGCAGAAGUCCAAACAACGUUCGGCCAACGCUGUUGUGAGAAGCUGCGAGCUGUGGGUCAACGACGGAUAUUUCCAGGGGAACGACACGUGCCCUACUGCGUCUUGUGGCGGCCUAUUUACUAAGUACUGUCCUGGCUCAUCUCUAGAUGUGUACAACGUGACUCAAUGCGGCCUCUUAAAUCAAACGGGUCAAACAAGUAAAGCUGCUCCUUGAUUA